rnacentral:lncRNA from 1 species
GUGCUGCUCUCUUCAUUCAUCCCACCUUCUCCCUCCCCGUGCUGUGUGGAUUUUUAGAACAUCCUCAGCAGGGCUGCUUAUUUCAAUGACUUGGACCAGGAAACCUGCAGACAGCCCCAUUUUAACAAUACCUCUCAAUCACUAAGAUUCUUCUCCUGGAAUGUGGCUGACUGAAUCUCAAAAUAAAAGACACCUGGGGGGUUAUUUGAAGGCUUUAAAUAUUAUUACCUGCAAUAACUCUUAAAUAUUGUUUCUUUGUCUGAUAGGGGUAAAUGGCAGAGACACAGGUGGGUUGGUAAUAUAACCUGCCAGUUGUUGAGGGUCAGCUGUUGAGUUCCCAGGAUCAUGACUAGUAACUCUAUUCUCCAGUCUGUAUUCACGUCCCUGGUAAGUAGGAUUUAAUUUUUGUUAACUCCAUAUCUGUCUCUUUUUCUCUCCUCAACCCAGCAUCACAUACGUACAAAUCUACACAGUUUCUGUCAAUACCCAUGCCACCUGCUCUGAAGACUCAAAGGUCCCCAAGAUCCUUGCUUUAUUCUCUUCUCAUCUGGCAGACACCACGGGCUGUGUCUGGUCGGCCAUCACUUUUGUUUCCUAAUCCAAUUGCACGACUUGAUGUUCACAGUCCUACUCAUUGUUCUGCAGAACUGAUGGGGGAAUGCCAUCCAAGAAACCUCCUUAUUCAUUCUAUGGCCACUCACAUCCAUGAUAUUUUAAUAUGAAUUCUAAUCUGGAGAUACAGUUUUCUUCCUGGCCAUACCCAUGCAGGAAUGCAAGCGUGCUUUCACAGCCCAGUAGCCCCAUAGCCUCAGCAGACUUACAGAACUCUUCAACCCCUAAGAAAAGGACUGGAUCACUCUGAAGAUGGAAAAACCCUUGGAAAGAGCCAAGUCAAAAUUUUCAAACCUCUCUUCAUCAUAAAGCAUCCUCUCCCAUUUUCUAUCUACUUCCUACAAAUUCUAGCAAGCUUUAAAGAUAUUUUUCAAUGGAAAAUUAAAAAAGGUUCAGCCAGGGAAUUAGCCCCAGGCCCAGGAGUGUUAAGCAGAUUGAUUUCAAGAUGCUCCAGAAUUUCAAUUGCACGAGAGUAGACUCAGACAUUAGUUGGACCCAGCACCUUAAAUGGGAAACUGGCCCAACUGCAGGAGACUGACCCAGACAAAUUGAAAGUGAUUUCGGGACACCUGAAGCAUCAGGCCUGUGUUGAAUCUGCAGCAGGAUCUGAACAAGAAUCUGGAGGUGGGCAGAGCGAGAGGCUCCAUUCAUUUAUUGUCUGCAUUUCUGUGAAGUCAGCACCCAGUUUUGAGGUAAAAGGAAGAUUAAUCAGACACAGGCAAACCUCAAGUAUCAAAAUGUUCUGUCAAGGCAGAAAAAACUCCCUCGUGGGCUGGCUAUUACAAGCAGGUAUCUUUGAAAAGUACUAUUAGUUAGGACACAGCCACCUGAAUCCUGAGAUUUCAGCUGAGAGCCUAAAGUAUAAGAAUUUUACAAUUAUUUUAGCUGAAGCUAAGGCUGUUUUCCUAGGGAAAAUCAAAAGAACUAUGUGUUUGAGUGAUGUUAGGGGAAAGACUCAAAAUGUUACCAUGAUUUUUGUGGAGGUUUGCUUUGAAUGUUGUUUGAUCUAUUUUUAAGACAGCUUAAAGAUUUUAUAUAAGUAUAUGACAUCAUCUUCCACCCAGCUGAGAGCACUGAUUCCUGAUUCCAAAAGCCAAAAGUGACUUACAGAUUAUUCUAUACACACCUCU